rnacentral:rRNA from 1 species
AGAGUUUGAUCAUGGCUCAGGACGAACGCUGGCGGCGUGCCUAAUACAUGCAAGUCGAGCGGGGGUCUUCGGACCCUAGCGGCGAACGGGUGAGUAACACGUGGGCAACCUGCCCUCAAGACUGGGAUAACACCGGGAAACCGGUGCUAAUACCGGAUAAUCCAAGGGGACGCAUGACGCUUGGUAAAAGAUUUAUCGCUUGAGGAUGGGCCCGCGGCCGAUUAGCUUGUUGGUGGGGUAAUGGCUCACCAAGGCGACGAUCGGUAGCUGGUCUGAGAGGACGAUCAGCCACACUGGGACUGAGACACGGCCCAGACUCCUACGGGAGGCAGCAGUCGGGAAUCUUGCGCAAUGGGCGAAAGCCUGACGCAGCAACACCGUGUGGGCGACGAAGGCCUUCGGGUCGUAAAGCCCUGUUGUUGGGGACGAAGGGCGAAGGGUUAAUAGCCCCUAGCCUGACGGUACCCUUCGAGGAAGCCCCGGCUAACUACGUGCCAGCAGCCGCGGUAAUACGUAGGGGGCGAGCGUUGUCCGGAAUUAUUGGGCGUAAAGAGCGUGUAGGCGGUUCGGUAAGUCUGCCGUGAAACCCUAGGGCUCAACCCUAGGCGUGCGGUGGAUACUGCCGGGCUAGAGGGUGGUAGAGGCGAGUGGAAUUCCCGGUGUAGCGGUGAAAUGCGCAGAUAUCGGGAGGAACACCAGUAGCGAAGGCGGCUCGCUGGGCCAUUCCUGACGCUGAGACGCGAAAGCAUGGGGAGCGAACAGGAUUAGAUACCCUCGUAGUCC